UUAUGGUGCAAGGGCAACAGCACAAUUAUGUCUCUUUGCAGCAGUCAUUGUCAUCUGUAAAAGUGAAGCACGGUGGAAACAAAGUUGGACCGGAGCCUCAAAGAAUCUUUGGUUCUCCCCUUGAUAUAGUCACCAAGGAUACGACACACCAGUCUGUCCCAUUAGUUGUCCAACACACAGUGGAAUAUUUAGAAGAGUUUGGGCUAAAUCACAAAGGCCUGUUUCGGAUCAGUGGAUCAGCAGCCAAAAUCAGGGCGCUUAGAUUAAAAUAUGAUCAAGGAGAAGAAGUUGAUCUUGUUAAGGAAGGAGAUAUCAACUCUGUUGCCAGCCUCCUUAAAGUAUUCCUGAAUCAGCUUCCAACUGCGGUUUUCCCGGAGAAACUCUGCACUGAUAUUUCAGCCAUUUUUGAAGCGAAUAAAAACUGCACCGUAGAGCAAACAAGAUGUCUGAAAAGGCUAUUAAAUAGCCUUCCGGAAGCCCACAGCCACCUUGCUUGUUUCCUCAUUAGAUUUCUCGCCAAGGUGGCUGCAAAGAGUGAUGUGAAUCAGAUGACCCUGGAGAAUCUGGCCAUUGUGUUUGGCCCCACGUUAUUCCGGCAGAGGAUAUGCUUCACACCUCGCUGAGAAAAGUUCAAGUUUUUUUCAAGAAGAAUAUCUCUGCAGCCCUCUUCCUGAUUCCCUUCUGCACACAAAUCUGCAGCUGCCAUUUCUGAACACCCUUGCUUCAGAGAUGAAAACAAGGAAAACUACCCAGACAAAUCUGUAGUCCUAGAGGAAAGUCAGGCAGUGUUUCAAGACACGCUGACCCCCUGCGAUGGCACUCUAAGAGUGGGCAUGGGGAACUUAAAAUCCAGAAAGCCCACAUCCAUUCCAAAAACAGAAAAUGGGAAAACCCGUGAAGAA